AUUGAACGCUGGCGGCAGGCCUAACACAUGCAAGUCGAGCGGAUGAAGGGAGCUUGCUCCUGGAUUCAGCGGCGGACGGGUGAGUAAUGCCUAGGAAUCUGCCUGGUAGUGGGGGAUAACGUCCGGAAACGGGCGCUAAUACCGCAUACGUCCUGCGGGAGAAAGUGGGGGAUCUUCGGACCUCACGCUAUCAGAUGAGCCUAGGUCGGAUUAGCUAGUUGGUGGGGUAAAGGCCUACCAAGGCGACGAUCCGUAACUGGUCUGAGUGGAUGAUCAGUCACACUGGAGCUGAGACACGGUCCAGACUCCGACGGGAGGCAGCGGUGGGGAAGAUUGGAAGAAGGGCGAAAGCCUGAUCCAGCCAUGCCGCGUGUGUGAAGAAGGUCUUCGGAUUGUAAAGCACUUUAAGUUGGGAGGAAGGGCAGUAAGUUAAUACCUGGCUGUUUUGACGUUACCAACAGAAUAAGCACCGGCUAACUUCGU
rnacentral:rRNA from 1 species